GACGAACGCUGGCGGCGUGCUUAACACAUGCAAGUCGAACGGAAAGGCCCUGCUUUUGUGGGGUGCUCGAUUGGCGAACGGGUGAGUAACACGUGAGUAACCUGCACUUGACUUUGGGAUAACUUCAGGAAACUGGGGCUAAUACCGGAUAGGAGCUCCUGCUGCAUGGUGGGGGUUGGAAAGUUUCGGCGGUUGGGGAUGGACUCGCGGCUUAUCAGCUUGUUGGUGAGGUAGUGGCUUACCAAGGCUUUGACGGGUAGCCGGCCUGAGAGGGUUACCGGCCACAUUGGGACUGAGAUACGGCGCAGACGGCUACGGGAGGCAGCAGUGGGGAAUAUUGCACAACGGGCGGGAGCCUGAUGCAGCAACGCCGCGUGCGGGAUAACGGGCUUCGGGUUGUAAACAGCUUUGGCCUGUGACGAGGAGUGAGUGACGGUAAUGGGUAAAGAAGCACCGGCUAACUACGUG
rnacentral:rRNA from 1 species